UGCCUGUCUCACCUGGUGCGAUGAUGAC
rnacentral:sRNA from 1 species